CUGGCGGGGACGGCGAGGAGUCCGGCCCGAGACGCGGCCGAGGCUGCGGCCACGACUGGCCGGCAGCCCCAGGCGGAGAGCGGAGCCUAGCGGGCCCGGCCCGGCGGCGGGGACUUGCAGGCCCCCGAGACCCGGCCGAAGAGCCGACACCCAGCCCUGAGCCAAUCCCGCCUCGGCCCCGGAGGGACUCCCGGGCACCCUUCCCCGCGGCUCGCCGACUUCCCCCGUGACGAAGUUUUCUCCUGUGCCUUCCCGAGAAGGAUCGCUCUCUCGCUCUAGGACUCACCUUCUGGCGGACUUGCUUGGUUUGCUUUAGGAGCAUCUGUGGAGUGUACCUAUGUGCCAAGCACAGAGCUGUGCUUAGGAGGCAGUGGUGAACAAGUCAUUCAUGGCUCCCUGUCUACAUGAAUUCACAGCCUGGCAGAGAGUGAAGCCCUAAGCCCUGGCAAGUUUUGACAGUUCACUGGGAAGCCACAUCACCUUGCUGACUGCCACGCCGUGUAGCAUGCAGGAUCUUAGUUCCCCCGACCAGGGAUGGAACCCGUGUCCCCUGCAGUGGAAGCGCAGAGUCUUAACCACUGGACUGCCAGAGAAGUCCCUCAUUAAUUUUUUAUAUAUACAGAAAGAUAUUUAUUAUAUGGAACUGGCUCACAUGAUUUUGGAGACUGACAAGUACCAAGAUCUGCAGGUGAGUCAGCAAGCUGGAGACCCAGGAGGGCUGAUGGUGUAGUUCUAGUCUGAGUCUCAAGGUCUGAAAUCCAGGAGAACUGAUGUUUCAGUUAGUGUCCAAAGGCUGGCACAAAUUUUUAUAGAUA